AUCAAAUGCACGUAGUGAGGUCUUUAGUUUCCGCAAACUUCGCCGUCCACUACAGCUCAGCAUAUCGACUCUAUAUCUACAACACCUUGAGAAGAAUGUCCUGGCAAACCUAUGUAGACGGCACUCUCCAAGGGAAAGAUGGUGAGGAUGGCUCAUACAUGGCAGGGAUCUUUGACAUGGAAGGACAGCCUUGGGCUGUUCAUCCCGAAUCGUUUUCAGCUCCCAAAGAAGAUGUCAUGCUAUUAGCUAAAAUUAUUACCGGUGAUGUGGAUAUUGAAAACAUACAAAAAAACGGGUGCACGUUCAAUAAAAUAAAAUUUGCCUACGUUAGAAAAGACGAAUCAAUGGUCUGCCUGCAAAGAAAGAAGGCAAGUGAAGAUGCUAAGCUCUCUCAACAAGAAAGAUGGCCCCUGUGCGCUUUCAAAACGGACCAGUGCAUCAUCAUACGUAUGUCUAAACUCGGCGCCGAUGCCGCAAGAGAAAACUCAGAAAGAGUGGGUUACGUCGGAGAUCACCUCAAUGCAGCUUAUCAAACACACAAGAAAUAGUUUAAAGAUCCAUCUGACAUUUUUGACUUUCCAACAAUAUGCAUAUAUCGUGCAAAUACCUUUUCUGUUGAAUUAUAUCUAUAUAUUAAGACAAACCACAAGUUAUCCUUAUCAUGCCAUCCUGGAACAUAUAUUCAUGUACAUGAAAAAAUGUUGUGUUUUUGCAUCAAAGAAUAACAGUCUAUUGCUUAUUUGACAUAUAGUCAGAUAAUGUAUCAUUUCUUAUUCUACAAUACGUCACUAGAGGAGGCUAAAACAAAGGACUAACAAUGGAGGACAAGAUAAGACAAACAACGGAGGACAAAAUAUGACCAACAAUGGUGGACAAGAGAAGUAAACAAUGGUGGACAAGAGAGGACAAACAAUGGUGGACAAGAGAGGACAAACAAUGGUGGACAAGAGAGGACAAACAAUGGAGGACAAAAUGAAGAAGGAACUUGUCUUACACGUUUGCAUAUAGUAGAUACAUUUGUUCGAUGUGGAACAUCCAUAUGGGAUCAUUGAGUGACCUCAGGUCCGGGACACAAAGGACAUUAAUUACGUUCAAAACACGAACAACAAAAAAUAAACACAGUGGAACAAUAUUCGAUUCAGACUCCGAUUGAGCCAUGUCUCAAGCCUACUCCUCUGUUUGUUUAUGUAUAUAACAAUUUUCACAAAUGCACUUUAUAAUUCUUUACUACAUUGGAGCAAAUUAUUAAUUGUGAUCGUUGACCUAUUUCUGAAUAAAUUCGGUCUUAUUGUUA